GCGCGGGCUCAAGGCGACCAAAAUCCUCGACGCGCGAUAGAGAGGGAUAGAGAGGAGUGAUGCGGCACGUCCACGAGCGCGAGCGAAAAGCGGCAUCAGAGACUAUGGGCGAAGAAAAAAAAGACUGGGGAAGACAACGAUCAAAGCCUCUCUUCCCUUUUUUGGUCUAUUUUUGGAAAGCAGCAUGGGGGAGCGAAAAAAAGGGAAAACGAGCAACGAUGCCCAAUUUCUAAAAAAAAUACUCGGCUCUUCCCUCUUCUAACGGCUCUUAAACGAAACGUGCGUUCACCCGCACGCGCACAGGGACAGGCAGACACAAAGGCGCACAAAUGAAUGAGGUGUACAUCAUGAUGCAUGGAAGUGUCGUUCGUUGUGACCGUACGUUGCGAAGGAAACUGUGCUGUCGCGUGCCGGCACUAACCGUGGUGUUUUGCAGGCUCGUGAGUUUUAGAUGCAUGUGCAAAGCAUGUGUGAAGGGCAUAGUAUAAUCGAAUCCCACUCCCUAAACCUCCACCAAAUACCAAAACAAAAUGGUAGGCACGAGGGACAGAGAGCUGCCAGUAUCGGAGUUUUGCAACUCUAGUGGCUUGUGCCCCUCUCUUCUUCCUUCGCGCCUCUCCUUUGUUCCGCACCCGCGAAUCCAAACACUGAGGAGCGAGUGGCCAGCUCAUGCAUCCAUGUUGCUCAGCUUCCGCCACCUCAAGCUGGCUACUUAUCUAGCCUCUCAUGCCGAUACACAGCCAAGCACUCGCUUCACUCUUUUAUUUACUGUGCCCUCUCUCCGCUCCGCUCCUCCGAUGACCUAAAUUUCCCUGGUUGUCAAAACUCAACCAUAAAAUGUAAAACUUCUACCUGUAUACACGUCUUUUUAUUUUCACAUCGUUUUCGUUUCUGCCCCGAACGCGUUUCGGCGUCGUGGGAACAUGCACACACACACACAUGCAUACACGCCUAUACACACACACACACACAAAG
rnacentral:misc_RNA from 1 species